rnacentral:rRNA from 1 species
AAGCGUUGUUCGGAAUUAUUGGGCGUAAAGCGCGUGUAGGCGGUUUGUUAAGUCUGAUGUGAAAGCCCCGGGCUCAACCUGGGAAGUGCAUUGGAUACUGGCAGACUUGAAUACGGGAGAGGGUAGUGGAAUUCCUGGUGUAGGAGUGAAAUCCGUAGAUAUCAGGAGGAACACCGGUGGCGAAGGCGGCUGCCUGGACCGAUAUUGACGCUGAGACGCGAAAGCGUGGGGAGCAAACAGGAUUAGAUACCCUGGUAGUCCACGCCGUAAACGAUGAGAACUAGGUGUUGCGGGUAUUGACCCCUGCAGUGCC